CCUGGUAGCUCAGAUGGUAAAGAAUCUGCCUGCAAUGCAGAAGACCCGGGUUCAAUCCUUGCAUCAGGA
rnacentral:tRNA from 1 species